UUCUUAUCACGAGAGGUGGAGGGACUGGCCCUAUGAUACCUCGGCAGCGGAUUCGUUAUGAAUACUGUGCCAAUUCCAGCAAGGUAACUUGAAAGAUAAGAA
rfam:Bacillus thuringiensis serovar israelensis ATCC 35646 sq1489, whole genome shotgun sequence.